UUCCACCCUUUGUUUGUUUCCAUCCCUGUUUGAUUGCCUUCAUCACUUUCACCUGUGUCCUGUCUGUCACACCUGUGGUUGAUCGCCCUCUGUAUUUCUCUGUUUCUUCCCCCCUGUGUCAAAUCAGUUGUCAGACAUUCCCCGUGUUUCUACUGGAAAACGGACCAGGAAGAGUGCAUCCACCGUAUCCCAGUGGUAAGCAGCUUCACAUGUAUGGAAAGCCGAUUGAACACAUACUGGCAACUUGGAGUCAGAUUUGUUGCUCAAAAGCACCCCGGCAGCAGUGAGAUGGAGACGUUUUUCCAGCCAAUCUGAAAGUUCCAAGGAUGGUUUGUCUAGCCCAUGGGAUAGAUGAGCUCCCUUGGAUCCCAGGAGACUCGCAGACACAGAAGAGCGGGUGGCAGACUGAGCUGGGACACAUAAGGCAUGCGAGUCUGACGUUUAAUCCAGGCGCCAUCAGUGCAUGAUUCAUAACUGGAGCCCUGUAUCACCUGUGCUGGAGGAAUGUGUGAAAUGUCAGCGCUGGAAUAAGGCUGCAUGAGUGUCUUGUAACCUGAAGUUAAAAACUAUAUUCAUCUGUCCCGUCAGCACCCGGACAGAGGUCACAAAAAAAAAAGGAGACUACACCUAAUUAAAUGUUUGAACAAUUCUUAAAUUAACCAAAUUACACCAAACCAAAUAACAAUUCCUUUUACAGUCCACUAAUCUCCACAGAUUUUUCUGCUAAUUACACAAUGAUUGUAAUACAUUAUAAGAUGAAUACCCCAGGUACUAAGGAGGUCAUUACAGCUGAAAUACUAAGAAAAACCUAAACUUUUAUCUAUCAGUUCAACUGAGAACCAUGUAGUUUUGACUGGUUUGAGAUGGCAAUAUCUCAGAUAUAGUAAAAUCUUGUUAAUACACUGGACACAUACAAAACUUCCUUUUACUGUCCAGUUUCAGCUGAUUUACUUAGUAAAUAUUAAUGAUUCAUUUAGGAUUGUCAAGUUUGUGUUGAUUCCACAGAAAAAAAGGUAUUGCCAUCCUAAACUAGUCAGAACUGCAUUAUAUAGUUUGACAAAGUGUUUCUCUGUAUUUACAUCACUGGUGGUUUUUACCUCAUAAUGUACAAUAACCUGAAAGUGAAUCUUGUUUUACGUCUUAAACUGAACCAUUCUAACUCUAAACAUUUGAUGAUCUGUUUAGCUUCCUCAAGACAUCUCAUUUAUCAUUGUGAGUUCAUCAUAAAAGGGAAUAAUGCUGAAUUCAUUAUACAGUUACAUCAAUUACUGACACAUUUCUUUUGCAGGGACUGAAGACUUUUAGGUCAAAUAAUAUGAAGUUUUAUCCAGCAGUCAGUUAGUGUAGCCUCACAUAAAGGCUGGAAGCAAAUUAAACUCAUGUAAAUCCCCUUCAAACACCAAAGCUGUUUAAAUAUUUUUUGUGUGUGUACUCAUUAAACAUACAGUCCAUGACCUUUAUCCAUAUUUAGUUUAUUUGUAUGUUUGGUGAAGCCAAGUGAGCUUUUCCCUGAUCUAGUUACCCCGUCCUAGCUUGCGGCUACAUGAUGGUAUCAAUCUUUGUAUCCAACUUCCUGCAAAACUGAAUGUAACUUUCUAAAAAGGUCACACUGUUUCUUUCACAAACAUUUCUUGAAGGGAUUUUAGUUCUUAAGGCAGAAGUGUUUCCAAUUGAAGAAAGAAAGCGCCUCUCUAGUGAUUACUAGCAUGACAAGCAGUUCAAAAAGGCAAACUUCUGUUUUAAGAAUCUUUAUAGAGAUCAUGAAG